CGACCAUUUCCCCUUUGGCCAAACUUUUUGUGCAGAGCUGCAGUGUAGGUGCCAGAGGCUCGAAAAUGCUGGACAUCCAUUGUGGAGAAGCUGCAGGUGUGAGUAGGUGCAGGUCAAUCCGGCGUGCCACAGUGUAUCAUGAAAUUAGGUGGAUAAAUCCAUAAAUUUGCAACAAUGUAAUUUUAGAUUUUUGCUUCUGUGUUGGGUUUCCAUUGGUUGUCCGAUGUAAAACCUGGGUUCUGUGCUAAAACUUUUUUUUAUUUUUUAUUUGACACAACCAACAUCUGAUGUUAUAAAGUAAUAUUUAUGAAACAAUUGCUAAAUUGCUAAUACAUAGGGGUGGAUUGGUUUGUGCAAAAUGGAGAAUGCAGAAUGUGGUCAGCACAAACUUCCUCUUGUGUGACUACAAGUCCCCUCAUGAAAGCUCUGGUUUAAAAGAUUCAUUUUAAAGGCAGCGUGAAAGAACCUCAGCCCUCAAGGGCUUUAACAACAUGAAGGCCGUGCUGCUUCUUCUCUGUGAGUUUAUUGCAUUUUAUGGUUGUUUGAACUAAUGAUAUUAUUUAUUGUUUUAAUGGCACAACUAUGUUGAAGGUCUGAAUGUGUGUGCUAUAUUUCACAGAUUUGCUCAUGUGGUUUAAGGAUGCUGAAAUGUUAACAUAUCAACUAACAGAUUUGGGUCAAAGUGUGACUAUAAAUUGUGAUUUUGAUGUAAAGGAGGUUUACUGGUUAUUCCUGAAACUACCAGAUCAUCCAGUUCCGAUAUUAAGCUCUUCAACAACUGCAGCAACUUUUUACUCCAAUAAAACUUUUAGACAGAAAUUUUCAGUGCAGAGUAAACACUGUUUAUUCAUUCAAAAUGUCACGACUGAUGAGUUAGGACUUUAUUACUGUGUGACCAAAGAAGCACAUCCGAAAUACAGCAACGGCACCAAACUGCACACUGAAAAUGGCACCAACCUACACACUACUAAGAUUCAGAAGCCUACAGAGGCUAAGAAGAGCCCGAGACCAUGGCAGAUUAUUAGCCUUACGUCUGGACUGUUGAAUUGCAUUCUGAUUACUGUGAUCAUCGGACUAGCAAGAAAAAAGAAGAGAACAAGAGACAACUUGAACCAAUCUCAAGAUGUGCACCUACAACAGCCUAAAGUUAAUCUUCAAGAACCACAAAGCUCAAGUGAAGUGCAGUAUGUGACAGCACACUUUUCUUCACCAUCUAGAAGGUUUCAGCCGAGUUAAACAGCACAGCUGCCAAAUCAGAGAAAAAAUAACCAUAUCUGACCCAGUUUAGUUUCAUUUCUCAUUUUAUCUCUUUAAUAAUCAUAUUUCGAUAUUGUUGUGCAAAGAGUUUAUAUGUAAAGCAUAAGUGAAAACAAGAAGAUAAUUCAUGUGUAUCAAAUCCUUUACAUGCAGUUGCUAAAUGUGUCAGUAACCUACACAGCAAGAAAUGCUGCUCAGUUCUGUAAUUAAAAUGAAUGUUAUUUGUGCUUUGCAUAAAUGUUGAGUUUCUAUGCAUGCAGAUGUUGUAGGUGUACGGUGAAUAAAAAUCAAACAAAUGAACAACAUCCUGACAUUCAAGAGGGUUAAGCGAAUACACUAUCAGAAAUUGUUCAGAUUUUAUUUAAAAUGUCUCAAUUUGUGUUUCGAUUAGACACAAAUCAUUUUUGGUGUUGGCCAGAUUGCCUUAUUGAGAUAACAUGCUAGUUAUCUAAAAAAACUAAUUUGUGUUCAUAAAUUUUUACAUAACUGUAACACUUCAUAACUGUUUUUUUUAUGACUUUUGUUAUUUUGGAUUAUCUUUUGCUAAUACAUUAUUUAGUUUUGUAAUGAGUGUAAUGAAUAGCCGGUCUGACUGUAGCCAUACAGUAUCCAUUCUGUAUUAUACAGUUUGUGUGUGUGUUAAACAGUCAGUAAGCUGUUGUUUUGUUCAUUAAAGCUGUUACAACACAAUCUGUAGUUUAUUAUUUAAUUCAGAAAUUAAGAUGUCAACAUUUAGCCACCGGCAUCCCAUUCCAAACUGGAUGAUUUUGGGUGUUAGAUUAUAAAGCCAGUUGGAAACUGUAAAUAUGGUCUAAUAACGUUAUCAUUAGCAUAAUUGGACAACUUCGUUCAACAGUAGCGUUUGCACAGGCUUAAAACAGUAAACAAUGUCAGGUAAACAGCUCACCUGUGGCGUUCACACCUCUAACCUAUAAUUAGAUUUCAUAAAAAAUACUUCACUGGUCUUGCAACUACAAGAAAAGCACAUAAAGCCACAAGCACAAACAAACCACAUGCUCUCACACACACUUGAAAACAUGUCAGACUUAACUAUUGUUAGUUAUUUGUGCAUAGUUUUAUCUAUAGACUAUACCUUAAAUUUCCAGGUGUGGUGAUAAUAUACUAAUAGUAUAUGGCUUUUUUUUGUUUAUAUAAUACGUGAUUUGAUUAUAUAAAAAGUGAUCUCCCCCCAUAAACUCCAGGAUGUAAAAUUUAUAAAAAGCAAAAACAAAAAAAAAGUUUCCAUUUAGAUUACAAGAGUAAAAUAUCCUUACAAAUAAUCACAAGAGUGGCAUAAGGACUCAUGUACUUAAGCAUGAAUUUUACAUUUAGAGAUUGAAUUAGACAUAAAUUAGAUUUUUUCUCAGUGAGAUGAAAUCCGCUUGUUAAG